AUCUCUUUAGUAUACCCGUACAAAUGAUUUCCACUCAUUUAGCCUUAGCCCCGAGCUAAGAAGAGAUA
rnacentral:tRNA from 1 species